UAUAGCUCUGGACAGUUGGUGGCAUGGACAUAGGUGUCAGAGCCCUUGUGGUCAGGCAGAAAUGAAAUAGAGGAACCAACCAAAGCUGGACGAUCUCCUCCAUUUACCCAAACUGAACUAGAGUUCAUGGUUAGAUUUCUGGAUACCAAAAAAUAUGAUGCUCAAUUCAUGGGCAAAUCAUACAAGUGAAAAACAAAGAUUAUGCACAAGCUCUCUGAAAGAUUUUGAUUUCAGUUUGGAACCAACCAUGACCGUCGGCAAAUCCCAAAAAGAUAUUUCAACAUGAAAGUUAGGCAAAAUAAGCUUUUAAAAAACAGAAGAGAUCAUAUUGCCAGACAACAAGCACAAAGCAACAUUUCCAAGAAGGAAGAUGAUGGGGGAGAAGAAGGCAUUUCUGAAGAUGUGUCGAGUCAGGCAAAUAAUGUGAUUUUGUCAAUAAAGUGUUAACCUA